AAUUCCAAUCGAACCCGGAGAUAGCUGGUUCUCCUCGAAAUAGCUUUAGGGCUAGCCUCUUAAAAGAGUAACGGAGGUAGAGCACUGAAUAGCCUAGGGGGCGUCAAAGCCUACCGAAGCUUAUCAAACUCCGAAUGCCGUAUACUUGAUUUAAGGGAGUCAGACUGCACGAGAUAAGUUGGGCAGUCAAAAGGGAAAGAGCCCAGACCGCCAGCUAAGGCCCCAAAAUGCAUGUUAAGUGGAAAAGGAUGUGGGAUCUCUAAGACAACUAGGAUGUUGGCUCAGAAGCAGCCAUACAUUCAAAGAGUGCGUAAUAGCUCACUAGUCGAGAGGUCCUGCGCCGAAAAUGUCCGGGGCUGAAACAUGCUGCCGAAGCUGCGGAACCGCAAGGUUGGUAGAGGAGCAUUGAAUGCGGGAAGAAGCUGUACCGUAAGGAGCAGUGGACUGCAUUGAAGAGAGAAUGCCGGAAUGAGUAGCGAGAAAUAGGUGAGAAUCCUAUUGGCCGAAUAUCCAAGGAUUCCAGGGUAAAGCUGAUCUGCCCUGGGUAAGUCGGGGCCUAAGGCGAGGUCGGAAGACGUAGCCGAUGGACAACAGGUGGAGAUUCCUGUACUGCAUAUGGUCAGAACUGUGGGGACACGGGGUGUUAACGGAAGCCGGGAAAGGAAAGACCGGUCCAAGCGCAGGAGGCGUUGCACAGGCAAAUCCGUGCAAUAAGCCAAAGGCGUGACGGGGAGCGAAAUACAAGUAGCGAAGUCCGGAUACAUGCUGUCAAGAAAAGCCGCUAUUGCGCCAUAUGUACCCGUACCGUAAACCGACACAGGUGGAUGAGGAGAGAAUCCUAAGGCCGGCGGGAGAAGUGUUGUUAAGGAACUCGGCAAAAUGGCCCCGUAACUUCGGGAGAAGGGGCGCCCAGAAAUGGGCCGCAGAGAAAAGGCUCAAGCAACUGUUUAGCAAAAACACAGGUCUAUGCGAAACCGAAAGGUGAGGUAUAUGGGCUGACGCCUGCCCGGUGCUGGAAGGUUAAGGGGAGAGGUUAGCCGCAAGGCGAAGCUUUGAACUUAAGCCCCAGUAAACGGCGGCCGUAACUAUAACGGUCCUAAGGUAGCGAAAUUCCUUGUCGGGUAAGUUCCGACCCGCACGAAAGGCGUAAUGAUUUGAGCACUGUCUCGACAACACACCCGGUGAAAUUGAAAUACCAGUGAAGAUGCUGGUUACCUGCGCCAGGACGGAAAGACCCCAUGGAGCUUUACUCUAGUUUGAUACUGGGACCCGGUAUGACAUGUACAGGAUAGGUGGGAGGCUGAGAAUUAAUGACGCCAGUCAUUAAGGAGCCGCUGUUGGGAUACCACCCUUGUGAUGCCAGGUUUCUAACGAGCUGCCGUGAACCGGCAGGCGGACAAUGUCAGGCGGGGAGUUUGACUGGGGCGGUCGCCUCCGAAAGGGUAUCGGAGGCGCUCAAAGGUUCCCUCAGAAUGGUUGGAAACCAU
rnacentral:rRNA from 1 species